UACGGAGGGUGCAAGCGUUAUCCGGAUUCACUGGGUUUAAAGGGUGCGUAGGUGGGUUGGUAAGUCAGUGGUGAAAUCUCCGAGCUUAACUUGGAAACUGCCAUUGAUACUAUCAGUCUUGAAUAUUGUGGAGGUCAGCGGAAUAUGUCAUGUAGCGGUGAAAUGCUUAGAUAUGACAUAGAACACCAAUUGCGAAGGCAGCUUACUACACAACGAUUGACGCUGAGGCACGAAAGCGUGGGGAUCAAACAGG
rnacentral:rRNA from 1 species